rnacentral:rRNA from 1 species
AGCGAACGCUGGCGGCGUGCUUAAAACAUGCAAGUCGUGCGCCUUGUGCCCUGAGCCGCCAUGGAUACCAUUUCUGGAACUUCUGCUCCUUCGGGAGCAGGAGGGAAGGGGAUGGUUGAAGUGGGGGUGAAGGGAGCCACACAGGCAGCGGCAAACGGGUGGGUAACGCGUGGGUAACCUACCCUGGAGACGGGGAUAACCCUGGGAAACUGGGGCUAAUACCCGAUGGUCUUAUCCUGGGGCAACCUGGGAUAAGUAAAGGUGGGGAUUCCUUUUGGAACCUGCCGCUCCAGGAGGGGCCUGCGUCCCAUCAGGUAGUUGGUGAGGUAACGGCUCACCAAGCCGGCGACGGGUAGCUGGCCUGAGAGGGUGGUCAGCCACAGUGGGACUGAGACACGGCCCACACUCCUACGGGAGGCAGCAGUGAGGAAUAUUGCGCAAUGGGCGAAAGCCUGACGCAGCGACGCCGCGUGGAGGAUGAAGGCCUUCGGGUUGUAAACUCCUUUCAGCAGGGAAGAAUGUCUGGUGGGUGAAUAGCCCAUUCAGGCUGACGGUACCUGCAGAAGAAGCGCNGGUAAUCCGUGCCAGCAGCCGCGGUAAUACGGAGGCGUNAGCGUUGUUNGGAAUUACUGGCGUAAAGCGGGUGUAGGCGGUCUGAUAAGUCGGGUGUUAAAGCCCACGGCUCAACCGUGGAACAGCAUCCGAAACUGUCAGACUAGAGUGCAGGAGAGGGAGAUGGAAUUCCUGGUGGAGCGGUGAAAUGCGUUGAUAUCAGGAGGAACACCAGUGGCGAAGGCGGUCUCCUGGCCUGCAACUGACGCUGAGACUCGAAAGCGUGGGGAGCAAACAGGAUUAGAGACCCUGGUAGUCCACGCCGUAAACGAUGCGCACUAGGUGUGGGAGGACAUCGACCCCUUCCGUGCCGAAGCUAACGCAUUAAGUGCGCCGCCUGGGGAGUAAGCCCGCAAGGGUGAAACUCAAAGGAAUUGACGGGGGCCCGCACAAGCGGUGGAGCAUGUGGUUUAAUUCGAUGCAACGCGAAGAACCUUACCCGGGCUUGACAUGCAGGUAGUACCGAACCGAAAGGGGAGGGAUCCCGAUGCUCGCAUCGGGAAGCCUGCACAGGUGCUGCAUGGCUGUCGUCAGCUCGUGCCGUGAGUGUUGGGUUAAGUCCCGCAACGAGCGCAACCCCCGCCCUUAGUUGCCAGCAGGCCCUAUAUGGGUGCUGGGCACUCUAAGGGGACUGCCCGGGAAACCGGGAGGAAGGUGGGGAUGACGUCAAGUCAUCAUGGCCCUUAUGCCCGGGGCUACACACGUGCUACAAUGGCCAGAACAGAGGGUUCCGAAACCGCGAGGUGGAGGCAAUCCCUAAACCUGGUCCCAGUUCGGAUUGCAGUCUGCAACUCGACUGCAUGAAGCCGGAAUCGCUAGUAAUCGCGGGUCAGCAAUACCGCGGUGAAUACGUUCUCGGGCCUUGUACACACCGCCCGUCACACCACGAAAGCCGGCAACACCCGAAGUCGGUGACCCAACCCCUUUUGGGGAGGGAGCCGCCUAAGGUGGGGCUGGUGAUUGGGGUGC